GAUGAACGCUGGCGGCGUGCCUAACACAUGCAAGUCGAGCGAUUCUCUUCGGAGAAGAGCGGCGGACGGGUGAGUAACGCGUGGGUAACCUGCCCUGUACACAAGGAUAACAUACCGAAAGGUAUGCUAAUACGAGAUAAUAUACUUUUAUCGCAUGGUAGAAGUAUCAAAGCUCCGGCGGUACAGGAUGGAGCCGCGUCUGAUUAGCUAGUUGGUAAGGUAAAGGCUUAACAAGGCGACGAUCAGUAGCCGACCUGGGGGGGUGCUCGGCCACAUUGGAACUGAGACACGGUCCAAACUCCUACGGGAGGCAGCAGUGGGGAAUAUUGCACAAUGGGCGAAAGCCUGAUGCAGCAACGCCGCGUGAGCGAUGAAGGCCUUCGGGUCGUAAAGCUCUGUCCUCAAGGAAGAUAAUGACGGUACUUGAGGAGGAAGCCCCGGCUAACUACGUGCCAGCAGCCGCCGUAA
rnacentral:rRNA from 1 species